CACGUAGGGCGCAAGCGUUGUCCGGAAUUAUUGGGCGUAAAGAGCUCGUAGGCGGUCUGUUGCGUCCGCUGUGAAAACUCGGGGCUUAACCCCGAGCCUGCAGUGGAUACGGGCAGACUAGAGUGCGGUAGGGGAGACUGGAAUUCCUGGUGUAGCGGUGAAAUGCGCAGAUAUCAGGAGGAACACCGGUGGCGAAGGCGGGUCUCUGGGCCGAUACUGACGCUGAGGAGCGAAAGCGUGGGGAGCGAACAGG
rnacentral:rRNA from 1 species